AACGGCUGAAAUUUGACGAUUUAGAAAGGGCAAACAGCGAGAGAAAGAAUGGCAUAGAGGAGGUCAGAGGAUCAUAGACAAGACCAUGGCCUAUCGUCCAUUUCUGUGAGAGAGACCGAGAAAAAUAGACCAUGUUUGAGCCAUCCCAUUCCUGAAACCCUACGAAACAUUUGUUGGUUUCUGGGGAAUCAAGGAAUGCUUCGCAUCCAUCUGCGCUUUCACACUCCUCCUGUUUCUGGAGCUCACUUUCGCAGGUUCAAUGGCCCUUCCCACGCUUCCGUCUCAAAGGUUUCUUUCUCAGUUCAGCAAUUCUUCGAGGGGAUUUGGGCAAAAAAGAAGUUCUGUAGAGAGAGGAAGAUUUCUAGAGAGAGAAAGAUUGUGAUAAGCUGCAAUGCCUCUCGAGAUUCCUACAGGCGGACAGAGAAUUGGGACGACGAAGACAAUGAAUAUAUUGAGGCCUCUGUGCUCACCUCAGAAACCAUAAGACAUUACCAAUUGCAUAAGCAAGGGUUCUCAGAAAUGACACCAUGGCACUCAUCUAGUCGGUUAUUACCUUCUUCAGCCUCAAAGGAGGAUCAGGUUAAUCUUGUUAGUUCAGUUGGACAUGGGUUCCUAAGCCGGUUUCACAGUCCCACUAUAUUUUUGAAAAUUGCUUGUGAUGGAGACAUAUUGCUGCCAAUUAUAGUUGGGGAGUCCGCCGUGAAGAAUCUCCUUGGUGCUUUACUACAGGAUGAGAAAGUGGAUUGGCCAGGUCAGUUCCAGUUUGUGAAGAAUCUUAUCAACACACUUGGUUAUGAGGUUAGAAUGGUGAGAAUUACUAAAAGAGUAGUUAAUACGUACCAUGCCCUAAUAUAUCUUGACAAGCCUGGUGAUAAAGCAAUGAUAAGCGUGGAUGCACGGCCAUCAGAUGCCAUAAAUUUGGCAGUAAAAUCCCAGGCUCCUCUAUAUGUUAACAAGCAAAUUGUCUCAACUGAUGCAAUUAGAGUUGUCUAUGGAAAGUGGAGAGAGAAUAACGUAAGAUCUGUGUAUGAUGUUACAUUGGAUAGUGCCCCCGAAGGGCCAGACCCAUUGGCUGAGGAGCUUGACUUAUUGACGAAAAUGAAUAUAGCUGUUUUGGAGGAGAGAUAUAAAGAUGCAGCUCUGUGGAGAGAUGAACUCUCCAAACUUCGCCUGCCCCGAUCCGAGGUUUAAUUGAAUCCUGGCUCAAAGGUCAGUUGAAUUGGAACCUUUGGCGUCAACAUCCAGUGGGCUGCACACGUAGUGCAGAAGAUAUUUGUUCGCAACCAGGGUUCUUCCACCACCUUCGAGGCUGACAAUAGCUGCUUGACCACAAGGAAUUCACCCUCAUCUGGGUAUAAAUCUAUUGCACCUCCUUCGAUUCAUUGUUAGGAUACUCAUGAUAGAUAGGCCCCAUCCCAUCUCGAUAUCUCCUUUCAUAAUCCUCGUCCCCAUCAUUGAGGUGUCCUGGUUUUGUCUCUUAGGGCACUCAAAAGAUCGAUGCCCAGGCUUGCCAUACUGGAAACACUGAGGACCCUGUUCUCGAAUUUGAAGAGUUCUGUUCACAGCCGGGCCCUUUCUUGCACCUUUGUUCCAUUGCUGGGUCUAGGGUUCGGAGUUCCUCUUCAACUUGGUUUUGACUUUUAAGGCUAACUGGUGGGCUUCAUCAAGGCUGAAGAUUCAGUGUAAAAUCAUCUCUUCCUGGAUCUAAAAUUCAGGCCACUUGCAUAAGGUGCAACGAGCUGAUCGUCAUUCGCAUGCAUCUUUUUGUGACUCAUCAACAAAUAAAAUUCAUUGGUGUACUCUUGCACGCCGUUUUCUUUCUGUCAUAGGUGAUGAAACCUUUGUGCAAGUCCUGGGCAUAGUUGGAUCAGACAAACUUCUCCUUCAAGCACGACUUCAUUUUCCUCCAGGUUAGAAUCUUGCCCGUCCUUUUGUCGAACCCUUCCGGUUGCACCUGUUGCCACCUGAUUAGGGCAUGUUCCGAGGUGAAUGUGUUUCAUUGGCUGUUCCCUUUGCCAAGAUCAAAUUCUGGGUAAUUUUUUGGGCUACUAAGCACAAGCGGUUUAAAGGUGUAUCUCACACGGCAUUCCAUCAAGACUGGGAAGCAUUCUUCUUUCUAGACAAACCUGUAUUCCUCAUACUUCUUUUUGGAGGCCACCUGACCCGAGACAACCCUGGCCCCUCGGGAAUUAGGGUUCUCCUCAGGGACCAUCGUGGCUCCACCCUUUCUUCCUCCAAACACAUCAGCCAUGUCGACUCAAUGACAGCAGAGGCUGUGGCAUUACUCGAGGGGGGCAAGUUGCUCGACACCCAGUGGAACUCCUCUGUCGGAUUGAGGGAGACUCUGAGAAUGUAAUAAGUUGGGCUUCUGGUUCUACUCUUGGUCACUUGCUUACAUCUUUGACAAAAUUCAACUUCUCUGUAGGGAUGCGCUCGUGGUAUGGAGGCAUACUUGGUGGGAAUCAAACCAGGAAGCUGACACCCUCACUAAAGAGGGCCGUCACACCAUCUCUGGACAACCCCUCCUUCCAAUGGCCUCUGAUUAGGAAGUCUUUUAUGUUCCUUUACGGGUCCUCUGGUGCCUUGUAUACGGUUUCCUUCUUAGAGGCGGCCUCUUUUUUUGGUUGUACGACACACCCCUUGCUGGGAUGCAGCUUUUUUUUGUAUAUUGAGCUUCCUAUCUGUGGAAAGCCCAUUUUUUGAUAUCUUGGACUCCUCUACCCUGUAUACAAAGUUAUCAUUUAAAAAAAAAAAAAUCUUUUGACUCAAAGGUCUCAAUGCUCGCAAUCUAAUCUAGAAAAUCAUCCGGUUACAAUCAACAAGUUAAAUGCAGGCACAUUAUCCCGAAUGCCGAGGUGUGACCCUUCAAGAGCAUGAAUCAAUUGAUCCUCAAAUGUGGAGGGAUUUUCUCUCCGCUUGUUAUGAAAUGGGUUCACCUCCUCUGUGGAGUCAAAUCCAUCACUUUCAUGAACAACUGAACCUCGUUUAAAGUGGAUGAGCACACCUCAAUAACCAGUUCCUUGAAUCUCCUCAUUAGAUAGUUGAUAUCUUCCCUGUAAUGAGUUCAUCACCACAACAACCACAGCCUCCUCAACCUCUAGAUGCCAUCGCACAAACUUGCAACGUGUCGCGGGUGCUUUGGGAACCAGCCUGCGUGAUACCAUAUGAUGCUUGAAUCAAACUACCAAAUAGGAUUAAAGAGCAAGAUUUUAAUAGUUUGAUUGAAACGAAAAUGAUGGAAGCUUAUAUGCCAAGUUUGUUAGCAAUCUUUCUCAUCAUUUCUAACCUAUUUGUAGACCUUAAAUCCUAUUUAAAGAGGACUUUCUAAUCAAAAUUAACUUCCAAUCAUGAAUUAACAACCUUGCCUUGAAUUUUAAAAAAAAAGAAAAAAAAGACAACUCCAUAUUGAGAAGAAAAAGACUAUUUCACCCCUAAACUGGCACUACAGCUUCCAGAUGCCAUGGCUAUUAGCUUCUAUAUCAGAGGUGUUAUUAUUACCUGUUUUCAGAAGUGACUUGCCUGAGCUCCAUAGCGUUAGAACCAGCUUUGCCGUUGCCCAAGGAAUUUGGCUGAAAAUGCCUCUAAAGGCCUCAAGUCUGACUCUGCAAUUUGCAGCAUGCACAUCGUCUACAUCAUUUGAUUUCUCAGGCAUUAUUGUUUGAAGAUCGAGGUAUAACAUUAGUUUCACAUGAAUAACAAAGUAUGUUCAUGUUACACUUAGUACUAGAUUAGCAUUUACUCCAAUUGGUUCAAGUCAACACAAGUAGCCAAGAUACCCCAAAUAGUUAGGAUAAUGCACAGAUGAUGAAGUAUAAGUAACCCAGAUGACUUUGUCGUAAAAAAAUGUUGAAUUUUUGGUUUUCACAUAUCGGCCAUUCAUCAGCAGGCUAGACAUUAGCCAAUGUUUUUACGUGCAUACCCACAAUAUAUCACUGUUUGGAUAAUAUACUUUUUAUGGACUCUAUUUGAUGUGUGAGUAUAUUUCUUUGUAUCCUGUCCUUAGUAAGCGACUGUUAAUUAGGGGAAUCCCUAAAGGACUGAUGUCCUCAUAGGUUCUUUGUGAAACAUCACUUUGGAUUCAUUCAAUUCGAACUAGUGUCUUCUUUCUCAUCUUGGAAGGAUAAUUGGUUAGUUGUUUACUAAGUUUGAGUGAAGAAAUGUCAGCCAUUUCUUCACUCUGAAAGAUUUUAAUUGACUGGAGUUGCUUCUCCAUGUUUCAUUUGAUUUCUAUUAGUGCUACUUGUGUAUUAUGUAAAGCAGUGAAUUUGACAAACUUUUGAUUUUUUUUUUUUAUUAUAUAAAAUAGGAUUUAAGCAAAACAAUCAAGAAACUGUUGUAUGUGUAAACAUAUACCGUAUGACUUGAUUGGUAUGAUUUUUGCUUGUUGAUCUAAUUCAAGGUUCAUCUGAUGCAAAUUUUCUAAACUAAAUGUGAUCUGCAUUUUGUCUUUCAUGUUGUUUCAAUGUGCUUGUAUAUUUACUCGACCUGCUUUAUGGAUGUUCAAAUGAAAAAUCUGAUUAAGAGAGAGGAUAUGGGUAUUUGGCUAUUUAAUCUUUCUGUUAUGUUUCUCUUUUUCCAAUAGACAUCCUUGCAUGAAAGAUGAAUAUUCUUACUGUAAAGGAGAUUGCAUCUGAUCAGAUUUCAUGGACAUUUCUUCUCCAUUUAGCACUUCUUUUUUCAACAUUUUUAUGAAAAUGAAUCAUUUCUAUUGCAAAUAAAAGGUGUAGUCGAUUUGGUUAAGGUGCAUGAAAUUUGUCCCCAGCAUGACACUAUUCAUUUAUUAGUUUUACUUUAAACAGGAUCAUUAUCAAAGACGGAUGAAUGAGAAAGCUGACACUUGACCCUCAAAUUUGAGGGAAAUUCUAUGCCAUGAGCCUGAUUUCCAGGAUGAAAGUGCAUCCGCCAUGAUAUGUAAAUAAAUAUGUAAUUAUAUUAUCAUCAAUAUCUUCCGAGCCUUACCCCAUGUAUGUAAUUAUAUUCUUGCUAUGACAAAAUUUCCUAGAUUUAUAGUUCAUUUUCGAAGUGAAACA